AGAGUUUGAUCAUGGCUCAGAACGAACGCUGGCGGCGUGGAUAAGACAUGCAAGUCGAACGGAGAUUCUUUAGAGCUUGCUUUGAAGAGUCUUAGUGGCGAACGGGUGAGUAACACGUGAGUUACCUGCCCCGAAGCGGGGGAUAGCCCGAAGAAAUUCGGAUUAAUACCCCAUGUGAUCGUAAGAUUAAAGGCGGCGUAAGCUGUCGCUUCGGGAUGGGCUCGCGGCCUAUCAGCUUGUUGGUGAGGUAAUGGCUCACCAAGGCGAUGACGGGUAGCUGGUCUGAGAGGAUGAUCAGUCACACUGGAACUGAGACACGGUCCAGACACCUACGGGUGGCAGCAGUCGAGAAUCAUUCGCAAUGGGCGAAAGCCUGACGGUGCGACGCCGCGUGGAGGAUGAAGGCCCUAGGGUCGUAAACUCCUGUCAUCAGGGAGUAAGGGCUCAUAUAGUAACUGAUAUGGGUCUUGAUAGUA
rnacentral:rRNA from 1 species